rnacentral:tRNA from 1 species
GACCGCGUAGCUCAGUUGGCAGAGUAUUGGGCUAGUAUUCCAAAGGUCGUAGGUUCGAUUCCACCGUGGUCA